GUCAGGAUGGCCGAGUGGUCUAAGGCGCCAGACUCAAGUUCUGGUCUUCGAGAGAGGGCGUGGGUUCAAAUCCCACUUCCGACA
rnacentral:tRNA from 1 species